GCGAGCUUCAACUGGAAGCCAGUGGAGAGAGCGGAGGAGCGGGGUGACGUGAGAGAACUUGGGAAGGUUGAACACCAGACGGGCAGCGGCGUUCUGGAUGAGUUGUAGGGGUUUAAUGGCACAGGCAGGGAGCCCAGCCAACAGCGAGUUGCAGUAAUCCAGACGGGAGAUGACAAGUGCCUGGAUUAGGACCUGCGCUGCUUCCUGUGUGAGGCAGGGUCGUACUCUGCGGAUGUUGUAGAGCAUGAACCUACAAGAACGGGCCACCGCCUUGAUGUUAGUUGAGAACGACAGGGUGUUGUCCAGGAUCACGCCAAGGUUCUUAGCGCUCUGGGAGGAGGACACAAUGGAUAUCAAAUGUGAAGUGCAAUAGAACGGUACAAAGGGAUCAGGCUGGAUCCACCAGGCUAGGUUUUGCUCUGGACAUUAUAUGCAUCUAAUAAGUAAAGAACUAAGCAACAAAUAAUGUCAGUUUAAAUAUGUUUCACAUUGGGGUUAUUUGUACAGAUGAGGAGCCUGUGAACGCUGUUGCCGUCGACAGGUGAAGGUUGCUGACCGGACACUUGCCAACAUGCUAGCUAUAUUUUAAUGACUUGUUACUGAGUUUUGAACACUUGUCAAACUACUUCACUGCCUGUUCAUUGAUGAAUUGGUGACUGAAAAAGUUUGUGACAACUUGAACGAGCACUGAAAUGUAAGCAGUGGGGUUCAUGUCUUCCCCCUCUGCUCUUUUCCUCAGGUUGAAGCACAUCCCUAACAUCCAGACAGAUGUCAAGAACUUGGGAACCUCCCAGCCACCAGGAUAAUCAUCUUGUUCUUGGAGUUUAUUCACAAGGUGCUACAGAGAGAAUAUUCCAAGGACCUCCAGCGGCUUCUGACCAAUUAUCUGCCAUCUCUCCAGAGCACAGAGAAGCAAGGUCCGCUGGUGCUCUAUGUAAACCCCCUUCACUAUGGCUGUCUGUGUGAUGACAUACUGUAGCAUAUAAUCCAGGGCCACUGGUUGGAUUGGAUUUACUGUACUCACUCUAACUCAUGCCCUCUCCUCCCUCUAUAAGCUUCCCAGACUUUUAUAAAAACGAACGUGUCCAUCCCCCUGUCCCCAGGGGAGUCUGCUGGGCCAUGGAACGCUAGAGCAGCACAUCAAAACACCUGCCACCAUGUUGUCAUUUAUCAGCAGACAGUUCCCUGAGGAAGGAUGCAACCAAGGUUUUAAGAGGGCCAAAUUAAAGGGGAUGACCACCAAAUGCAAUAAAGUUUUGUAUAAAUUA